rnacentral:rRNA from 1 species
AUUGAACGCUGGCGGCAUGCCUUACACAUGCAAGUCGAACGGUAACAGGUCUUCGGAUGCUGACGAGUGGCGAACGGGUGAGUAAUACAUCGGAACGUGCCCGAUCGUGGGGGAUAACGCAGCGAAAGCUGUGCUAAUACCGCAUACGAUCUACGGAUGAAAGCGGGGGAUCGCAAGACCUCGCGCGGACGGAGCGGCCGAUGGCAGAUUAGGUAGUUGGUGGGAUAAAAGCUUACCAAGCCGACGAUCUGUAGCUGGUCUGAGAGGACGACCAGCCACACUGGAACUGAGACACGGUCCAGACUCCUACGGGAGGCAGCAGUGGGGAAUUUUGGACAAUGGGCGCAAGCCUGAUCCAGCCAUGCCGCGUGAGUGAAGAAGGCCUCGGUUGUAAGACGUCUUUCGGUCCGGG